UUUAAAGAUACCAAAAAUACAAAUAAAUCCCACUGUAGCUUUAAAAGUUAGUCUAAAAAGGUACAGCCUUUUAGAAACGGAUACAACCUUGACUAGAGAGUAAAAUUUAACACUACCAUAGUAGGCCUAAAAGCAGCCAUCAAUUAAGAAAAGCGUUAAAGCUCAACAACAAAAACUAAAUAGAUUCCAACAACAAAUGAUUAACUCCUAGCCCCAAUACUGGACUAAUCUAUUAUAGAAUAGAAGCAAUAAUGUUAACAUGAGUAACAAGAAAAAUUUUCUCCUUGCAUAAGUCUAAGUCAGUGCCUGAUAAUACUCUGACCACUAACAGUCAAUAAAAAUAAUCCAACAAUAAACAAUUUAUUGAUUAUACUGUUAACCCAACACAGGAGUGCAUCUAAGGAAAGAUUAAAAGAA
rnacentral:rRNA from 1 species